GAAGGACAAGGUUUGAAGCCAAGAAUAUGCAAUUGAACAAUUUAGCAAUGAAAGAAACAAUUUCAGCAAAAAGAAACAAGUUUAAUUUUUAGCAGCUUUUUUCCUCUCUCUCUGUUUUCUCUCCCUCUUUCCCCCUUUCCUCCUUUCCUCCUUUUUGCCUCUUUUAUUUCUUUUUCGGCUCGUUGGGGCAUGCCACUCUGCCUGCCCCUUCCAUUUGGAUUCGCCACUUGUGCGAAAAUAAUCCAUUUCCCUCGUGAUGUCAGCCUUUACUCACUCAAAUCAAUUUGUUUCUAUUUAAAACGUAUUGUAGAAUAUGUCAACAAAUGCACUCUGGUUGAAUCGACGACACGAUUGGACGUAGUUGCGAGCACAUCAGAGCCGGCUAUCCAAUGGGAGGAUGCGGACCCGGUCUACCAGCCUGAGAAGAUUCAGCGGUGGAAACGGAAUUCUGCAAGCACAACCCACGACGGCCGCUUCAUGUGCGACCUCUGCGAGAAGACCUACAAAUACAAAGGCGAUUUGAAUAGGCACAUGAAGUACGAGUGUCAGCACGUGAUCGGGAAACCUAGUUUCGAUUGUCCUCACUGCGAUUACUCGACCGUUCGACCCUCGUAUCUUAAGUAUCACAUGGAGGAGGAAUAUCAACUCGAUGCAAGCCUUCAGGAGCUGCCAACAAUCCUUUCUGAGGACUUGGACCUGAUGUCCUUCUGCGCACCUUCAAUGUCACUGUCUCGGCCCAAGUCAAGGUCACGAGGUGGAGGCGGCUCCAGCACCAGCUCAGACUUAGCUGCAACUGGAGAAGACAGGCCUUUCACCUGCGAGCUCUGUUCCAAAUCGUACAAGAGGAAAGUCCACCUCCAACGUCACGAGAGAUUCGAAUGCAGGAACGUCCUCGAGAAACCCAACUUCGGGUGCAGUUACUGUUCUUACAGCACCAGCAGGGUCGACAACCUCAAGUCUCACGUCAUUCUUCAGCAUCAUUUCAAAAAGGAUCAGAGCUGAGGAAAGAUUCUAGCAAGCUGUGCUGGUGUAUGAGACUAAGUUCACCAUCCAAGACGAGGAAACGCUCUCUUCAAUUUUCAACCCGAAUGCUGGUCCUCUUUCAGAACAAAAUGUAGCCUUGGAAAAUAUUAAUCAACGAUCACAAUCAGGGCCUAAGUUGUCCUCUUUCCCCGCACCCCACCUUAGAAUGAAGCGCUAUUGUGAAGUUUGUUCAAAGGUUUUUUCAACAGCAGAAGAUCUGCAACGUCACCAGGACAAUGAGUGCAAAUGGACUCCGCCCACAAAGCCGAGGCAACCUACAAGUAGGCCUUGGUCUUGCGAUCUGUGCUCGAAGACAUAUAAAAUGAGACAGCAUCUGGUCCGUCACCAGAAAUUCGAGUGCAAAUUUGUACUUGACAAACCCACCUUCAAUUGCACAGAAUGCUCUCAUACCGCCACCAGACCUGAAACUCUGAAAUUCCACCUAGCUUUUGUUCACAAAAAAAUUGAAUAAAUUAUUAUCGAAAGGUGUAUGUCGAGUCUUUGUAACUAGAUCAUUUGGACCGAGACCAUCAGAAAGAAACCAAUCCUCAUUUUUGAAAAAAAAUUGAGAUAAGGAUGUUUUUAAGUUCCUCUAGUUAUAUAUUUUCUGCUGUCAAAAAUUCAAAGUCGAAAAUAAAAAUAUUAGUUUGUGAAAUAAGGCGUUAAAGUUUACUCUCUACACUGAGUCUUAUGGAGAAAUAAAACCUCAAACCUCUUUUUUCUCAGUUUCAUCUUGAUGUGGGUUGGUUCCUUUCUGAUAAACUCGGCCCAUUGAUCCACGAAAGAUACCGACGGUGAAACUACCAGACCACGUGUCUCGUUUGCGGUGUUUAAAAAUGUCCACUCACAUUUUAUUUUUUGAAGGAGAUCAAAUCAAGAUCAUUCCUUACAAUUUUCACAGAUUUUUCUCCGCUCAAAGAGGAAAAAUCACGGAAGUUUUCACGAAUUGACGUUGAGUAAUUUUCUAUUUAAAAAAAAAAGUAUGACAGGAAGUCUGCGACGUCGCAAACCGAGAUACGUGGUUUGGUAGUUUCACCGUCGAUACGUAAUUUUUCCUGUGCCGACGAAAAAAGGUCUUUGACACCUCAAAAAUAACAUAUUUUUUGACAACCGCUACAGUAAGGAGGGAGCACGUUUUUUCCUCACAAGAUGGCUCAAUAUAUUUUUUGCCAUUUUGAUGAGGAUAUCAGUCAGAAAUGUCAAGAAUGGCUGACAUAGCCAAUUUAAUUGUGACAAAAGUGACUUUUAUUCCUAAUGUGUGCUGUGAGCAAUUGAGCAUACACCAUGGAGCGCUGUGUUCAGUAAUGGUGUGUUUCCUUUUUUCCAGAAACCGGUUUCGCAUCGUGGCAACCGCGAAAUGCGAAUUCGAUGGAGCCGAGACCGUACGUUUGUGAUUUGUGUUUUAAGUCCUACAAAAGGCCGGGGGAUCUAUGGCAGCACAGGAAGUACGAAUGUCGGCUCGUAGCCGAAAAACCGCAAUUCCCCUGCCAAUUUUGUCCGUAUGUUGCCAAAAGGAACGAAAACCUUAAACAGCAUCAGGUCCUCCGUCAUACAAUCUUACCUUUCAACCAUUAACCUCCGUUUCAGCCAUCAACUUGGAUUGUGUCCCCACUUAAUUAAGAUUUCUUUAGCCUCCGCCCAGUAAUACAAGUUUUUCCAUGGAUAAACUAGUGGGUUCCCUUAUCUUAGUUUGUCGGCACAUUGCGGAAAUGACGUUUUUUCGUCACAGUUGUUUUGCUACGCCAUACACCAGUAUAUUUAAUUUGAUGGUGAUUAAAUUUAAGGUAAAAUGUUCAGUUGUGAUAGUAAUUACUCGUUUCUUUCAUUUCACGCUCUCGAGGUGUAUAUUUUGUAAGCGGCAGCGAUGACUAAUUUCUUGGAAUUCUAUUUAAGGUUUUUUUUAGAUUAUCAUUUUUCAUUCUAAAACGGAAAUUAAUUGACGCUUUGCCGAAUUUUCCAAUUUCUUUAUUCUUCUAUUGAUCUGAAAGGAUUUCUCACUUCACCGAAUGUUAUUUUUAAUGUCCACAUUAAAAGCAUCUUUGAAUUAAAAAGGCAGAUUUUUAAUAUGGUUAAUGUACAACACAAAAAGGAUAUUGUUCAGAAGUUUUAACGUUUCACUCAGCUAAUAGCAAUGGAGAAUCUCACAUAGUGUCACAUACUUUUAGAUGUAAUUUAAACUUUGCCUUUUUGUUUCGGAUGCUCCUAAAUUCUGAAAAUUUUAAAAUAUGUCUUAUUUUUGCGAUUAUUUAUUCACAAUUCCACACGUUCAUUGUUCAAGAAAAUCUCGGUUUGGAUCUCAAAUAAUAUUUGAAAGGAUCAUUGUUAAUUAUGUUAUAUGUGAAGAGCUUAUAUUGCGGUUCCUUAUUCAUAGCUUAUUGGUCAAAAAGAAUGUUUUGGUCAGGGAUUCUACACUUUGGUGCAUUCGUUUCUUCCCCAUCAAUUGUGCGUAUUUUACGCCUCUGAAAAGUAGAUUAGGUAAAUUUGUCUUUUUUAUGGCAUAUAUACCAUUGACUUAUUUUGUAAUAUUAACGUUUUUUUGGAGGGAAAACUUUAACAGUCUUGCAAAACUUUUCUGUCAAGAGUUUGUUAAUUCGUAUUUUGCACCUGCAACAGUUACAUUUUAUUUAACAGUAUGUAAUAAGAUAUUUCCGUUCAAUUCAUUUAAUAAGAUUAAAUUUACAGCAGAUCAUUUCCCAUGGAUCCGAUCUCAUUGCCCAGGAUUCAUGGUCUUGUAACACUUUUCGUUUUCUGUAAGCUCUCACGCAUUGAUCUCAUGUUUGAAAACAAUUAUAUUCUUAGGUUUAAGUCUGUUUUAAAAAUUGUUCGUUCAUAAAUAAAGUAUUCUCGAAAACAUUACAUCAGUUUUCAUGUCAUCUUGUCUACAAAAUAAAAUCAGAUCUUUGUCAAUGAAUAAAAAACCUUCACACCUAGUACGUUCUAGUUUUGAAGGAAAAAUCACUCGGAGUGCAUAAUGGAACCGUAAAUAUGGUCUUCCAUGCCAAGUUUGUAUGGAACUGAACAAAUAGAUUUUGUGAUAUGGCUGGAGACAGCAGUGGCGUGGCGUGAACAAUCGAUUAUCGAUAUUUUCGUAUUUGAAGAUGUGGUAAAGAAUCGAUUAUUAAGGCGUUCGUUGCCAAAACCCUGUUUAUCGAUCCUUUUUCAUAGGUUCAAAUGGUAGAUUAAUCGAUUUAUCGCAAAGCACGCCACGCCACUGGUAGACAGAAAAAGGGGACGCCGGACGGACGGACACUCCGUUUUUCAAGUAUGGUUUUUUUCCAGGCACCCUAUAAAACGCCUAGACUCUUCUCAUAGAGGGGAGGGGUUUGAAGGUAAAACUUACCUGUAACUUUUGAAUGGAGCAUCAGAUUUUAUUUGAACAUUGAUUUCAAUUAAAGAUCGUAAAAAGAUCGGUUUGAAGGUACCAUAAAAAGUCAGUAAAUAAUUCCAUUCUGUGCCAAGGAUCAAUUUUUCGAAUCAAAAGAGUGGACAAAUUUAAAUUUUGUCAUGUCAAGGCAUGAUUCUAGCAAUGAUUCUAGCGGAACAAAAAGCAGUGUUUUAUACUUUGCGCUCAGUUAUCUACCUCCUAGCCCCCAUUUAGCCCCCCAACGGUUUACAUUGUGACCAAGAGAGGUUUAGACAGACGCUUAAAAUAGCAUUUACAAAAAAAGAAGGAAAAAAUGAGCCCUACUGGCAUGCUUAAAAAAUUGCCAACCUCAAGUAAAAUUCAGAAGUCUAUUUUUGGUAAUGGGUUCUUGAAAGGGGUUACAAUAAUGUACCACCACAGAAGAUACGGAAUACAAGGGAAAAUACACUGCGAGUUUGUAAAUUCAAAGGUAGGUUCGCUCCUACUAUAUCUUAAAGCUUUGUAAAAAUCGUUGAAUUUUCUUUUCCCUAUUUUGUACUUCUUGCAGAGGCAAAUUAUUAUAAUCCCUUGCAGGGAUCCUUUUCGGCAGUUUUGCCGAUGAAUUAAAAAGAAAGAAAGAAAGUAGUAGUAGUAGUAAUAUACGUUUAUUUUCUUGAGGUGCUCUAGCAGCUCAGGCCAAGAAAGAAAGAAAGAAAGAAAUAAAUACAUAAAUAAAGAAAACAAAGUCGCUAAAUUUUACUUGAUCGUUGCAAAUAUUGUCCAUUCAUAAUGCUAUGUUCCCUGAACCGCCGUCGGUCACAAUGUAAACCGCAUGGGGCUUCCUUGGGAAAGGAACUGUUUAAAGAACGACUGUGGGUAGACUGAUUUAGUGACUCCUUUAUUCGAUAUUGUGGUAACUUAUUAAAAUUUAGUCAUUGACAGGUCAUAAAUCAAUGAAGGGCUCAUUAAAGCUGGGGUAUUUUGAUUGUAAGGAACAUUUCGGCUCAUUUUAUCACCCUGACGCGAGGGAUGCAAAUCAAAAUCAAGGUUAUGUGUUUGUUUACAAUUGAACCAUGACGUAGCCACUAAAUCAGUCUAAAUCUCCUAAAUCUAUUUGUUGUGUUUGUAGUCGUGGCAAGUGACUCGAUGUCGUUUGAUUGCGAGAUAGACCCUGAAGGGGGCGGGGGCACCUUGCUCUUCCCCGAAACGGAAGGGCUGGAGCGAUUCCAGUGCGACGGGUGCCCCAAGUCCUACAAGCACAAGUUCCACCUGACGCGACACCAGAAGUAUGAAUGCUGCAACACCUUAGACAAACCAGAACUUCGGUGCACCAUCUGCCAGUACUCCACCAACUACUUGAGCAGCCUCAAAGUCCACUGCAUCCGCAAACACGGAGCCUUCGGCCACCAUACUUAUACCAGUCUCCCGGCUUAAGGCUAAGGCACGUUCAGGUAGAU
rnacentral:lncRNA from 1 species